GUUUUUGCACACAUGUAGAGGUUGGUUUAAUCAGAGAAGAGAACUUCACAAAUGUACAUUAGAGAAUUCAGGGAAGAGCGAUGAAGUCUAUGGAACCUCAUUUCUGCAGUAAUCACUUAUAUUAAUAGCCACAUCAAAAUUAAUCUUUGCAGGUACUGUUAAAGAGAAAAAAUGUUUAAAAUAAAAAUAAAAUCACAUCUCUGGGCCGCAACACAGACCUGAGAAGAGACAGGAAAAAAAUGCUUGCUAAGCUAUCCGUUUCACACAUGCAGGGACAGAAGGUUCGAUAUUCAUUCGAUCGAUGAAUGAAAAGGCACAAUGGCAAAAUCGGACGGGCCCCUUUUCAAAUCCACGUCUCCAACGUCCCCCCCGCCACCCCUCCACAGUCUGCAGUCGCUGGGCGGCUGGUGUGGCAGGCAGAGAGAGAAAGAGAGAGAGGAGAGCAAGGGUUACAUCAAGGCUGCUCUCUGGACCGUGCAAACAAGUCUAGACCAGUGACCUGUUCAAUGGCUCCUUUUGAGGAGUGGGGCAAGUUCGGUCAGAGCGAGGAGAAAGGCAGGCAUAGCCUCUUUUCAGUGCCGAAGCAGCUCACAGCCCGCGAUCGACAGGAGAGAGAAGAACUAAAAGUUCACUUUCGGCAGCGAAACCCCCUGAGUACGACACAUCCAUGAAGGGAGUCCUGACAACUGUUGGUCUUUCUCCAUUUGCAAAGAAUGAUGAGGAGGAGGAAGAAAAAAGGUGUGGUUGUUGGAGGGGCACAGAACAGAGUCAAGCUGUCCCCCACUCUCUCCCCUGUGCCGCUCAUUAGUAUGCAGCGGCUGUUGUUCGGGUGACACGGCCACUGGAUUCAGUCCCGACUGCAGGAACAUCAGCAAUGUGGCGGAGAGCAGGUAAGGACAACGAGAGCAGGAGGGAGACAGGGAUGGGGGAGGAGAAGAGAGGCAAAGAAUGGGCUUAACACGAGCACACACAUGCACUUUACACAGCUGUAGUACAUGAGCAUGUUAUAUAUUUUUAGGUUCAAGUUCAGCCCCCCUUCCAAGGCUGAGCAGUUAAGGACACAGCGGUUGUGUAUUUUAAUAAAUUAAAAUAGCUUUUGCUAUGUGUAGAGCUGUGCUAGUUGAGUUAUGUAGUAAUAAAUAUCUUGGCUCAUGCAGUUUUGCCUGCGUUAAUAACAUAUUUUAUCUUGUACCUGUUGUAGGAACUCAUUUAGAAACAUUUGUCCUGCAAUUUAUGUCUUAACAGAAAAUGUAUUAAUUGUAUAUGAUCUGCUGCAAAUAAUGAUUUCAAUAAAUGUUUCUGUUGAAUAUGUUUUAGUGUGUUUGGUUAUUUAGAAAUAUGUUUUAUUCCAUGUAAGCAAACAAUGAAAGAAUCCUGCAGUUUUCUCUCAGAACAUUUUCAUUGUUUUCAUUUGUGAGGUUUUCAUUCCCCUUGAUAUGUAGGAUAUUAGUUUUGUUGCCAAAGGCAACAAAGAGAGAACGGUA